UCACGUGGGAGGAAGACUCUGAUGAAAAAAAGGACUUCAGCCACCACGUGGAGGUGACGGACGCCCAGGCCGAUCAGCUGCUGGCCGACUACGACCGCGAGUGUCAGCAGCGUCCGCAGGCCGGCUCCGGGUCCGGCGAGGAGCGGCCCGGCUCGCGCUCCCCCGAACACGCCUCCAGCAACGACGACGACUGGGUGAAGGAGGACAUCGACGCGGAGACCAACAGCAGCGUGGGCAACGACUGGGAGAAGUGGGAAUAGCUGCCGUCCUCGGGCCGCGUGACUCUGCGGAUCAGCUCAGCGGCGCCGGCCGGGGCGGCCGCACCCGGACCGGCGCCGGUCGGAUGCGACGGCCGCCCGGACGUGUCACGGUGCCCGCUGGCGGCGCCGCCCCGCCGAGCGGCGGCGGCGACCGCGGGCCGCGGCCGGCGCUGGAGGAGGACGGCCGGUCAGUGGGGACGGAAGUGGCAGUCGCAAGGCCAGUGGUGUCCGGCCCGGGCCGACCUGGCCGGCCGGGGCGGACUGAGUGACGCGCGACGCGCCGGGCGCCUCCGAGUGCUGCCAGGCGCCGCGUGCCUGGUGCCUGCAACGGUUGUGGUAAUCCCCGCUGCGGUCGGGGUCUUGGAGAAGCCCUUGUAGACGCGUAGCGACUGUAAGGUGAUCUGGGCACAUUGGCAGCCCGAUGAAUCUGGAUGCCGUCUUUGGCCGCCGCUUUUGUUUAGUCGGGACAGCACAACGGCCGUCGAUAUAUCUAUAUUAUUUGAGUGCUGCUGUGUGUUUGUGUCAGCGACGCCUCUUCGUGGCAGCCGGGGUUUGAGCGACCCUGUCAUGUCCUGGCCCGCCCUGGGUGACGGUCAGUUGGGCGUCACGUGCGCGGCACGGCAAGUCACGAGCCUUCAUACAGCACAGCGUGAUGUGGCCGCCCGCACCUGGGAGCGCCCAGUAGGGCCGGUGUGCCGCCUGUAGCGCCGCCUGUCGCGCCGCCUGUCGCGCCGUACAGACCCGGGUGUCGGCCGUCCGCCCGUGUGACGUCGGGAGCGCGCACUCGCCGCUCGCUUGUGUCGGCCGCGGGAGGCGCCAAGUGCUUUAUCGCGGAGCGCGGCGCCGGUCCGGGGCCUGCGGCUGUCUGUGGUGCGAGUGUAUGGUGGCGAGAGUGCUAGUCGUAGACGGGUGGCUGGUGACGAGCGUUUAUUUUUCGAGCGGGACGCUCGCUCGGUGAGGAACUCUCCAGAUAAGGUGGUGCAGGUGCUGUUGAGGAUCGGACACGGCAUCGUGUUUGUUGUGUCCCCGCAAUACACCGCACAGAGGCGC